rnacentral:rRNA from 1 species
AACGAACGCUGGCGGCAGGCCUAACACAUGCAAGUCGAGCGCACCUUCGGGUGAGCGGCGGACGGGUGAGUAACGCGUGGGAACGUGCCCUUCUCUACGGAAUAGCCCAGGGAAACUUGGAUUAAUACCGUAUACGCCCUUCGGGGGAAAGAAUUUCGGAGAAGGAUCGGCCCGCGUUGGAUUAGGUAGUUGGUGGGGUAAAAGCCUACCAAGCCGACGAUCCAUAGCUGGUUUGAGAGGAUGAUCAGCCACACUGGGACUGAGACACGGCCCAGACUCCUACGGGAGGCAGCAGUGGGGAAUCUUAGACAAUGGGGGAAACCCUGAUCUAGCCAUGCCGCGUGAGUGACGAAGGCCCUAGGGUCGUAAAGCUCUUUCGCCGGGGAAGAUAAUGACGGUACCCGGUAAAGAAGUCCCGGCUAACUCCGUGCCAGCCGCCGCCGUAACAC